rfam:Triticum urartu cultivar G1812 contig351468, whole genome shotgun sequence.
CUCGUACUCCCUCCGUCUGGAAAUACUUGUCAUCAAAAAGGGAUGUAUCUAGACGUAUUUUAGUUCUAAAUACAUCCAUUUUUAUCCAUUUUGAUGACAAGUAUUUCCGAACGGAGGGAGUACCUG